GGGGGGCAACUGCCCCCCUCCAAUUGUUAAAAAAAAUUUCUAAGUAAAAAAAUUUUUAUUAUUAUGUUUUGCCCUCCCAAAAAUUGAUAAAAAAAUUCACUUUGCCCCCCCAAGGGCCCAAACAAUAAUGUUUGAAAGUUAUUUGGACUUGGUCCAAAUAACAGAGAAUUGCCACUUUUCUUAACGGACUUCAUACAAGUGCAAAGAAAAGAUAGCCAGUUAACCUGGCAAUUGACUCUGCUACAGUUCUUCUUCCUAGAAGGUAGAAACGUCAAAAUCUUCUCACCUUGUUCCGCAGAGAUGUAUCAAAUCUGCUCAAACGAUACAUCAUUAAUUACUGGAAUUGAUCCUUGUGAGCUCACAAAGUUAUGACUUCUCAUCAAGUAGAGACCAUUAAAGGCUUGAAGAACUUUCUCCUGUGAAGACCUACCCCCGCACAUGGCUAAGGAUUGUACCAUUGCAUUUUGCAUGGUCUAGGUUGUUGUUUUGUUGCAAAUAUAGUGGUAAUGGCCAACAGGACAAUUGAUUCUUUUUUCAAGAAAAGACGUCUAGAACCAAGUGGAAGUGGUGAAACUCCUUGUCCUCUUUGUGAUUCUUCUCCUAAGCAUCAAACAAAGAAAUUUUGUAGAGCUGAAUCAUUAGAGGUUGAUAUUUCAUCCAUAGAACGUGAUCCUGGAAAGCGAAAAUCCAUUUGGGAAUAUCUAGAGCUUCAAAGGGAUGAGGUACGGAGAGCAUAUAUUAAGUUUGGGCCAUACCAACCUGAGCUUCCGAUUGAAUCAAUGGUUGUUGACAAGAAGGGCUGACGUUUCCUUUUCUCUUAGUAUAAAUUGUUUCCAGAUUGGUUGGAAUUUUCUCCAACAAAGAAUGUUGCCUUUUGUCUUCCUUGGUCACUUUUUUCCAAGCCAACGGACCGUUUUGGAUCAAUGGCCUUCACAACUAGUGGAUUUAGAUCAUAUGUCCCACACAGUCAAAUAGAUUUGUAAAUAUGAUGAUAUUUUUGUAUCUGUGAAACGUAUAAGUAAUUUUUAUUUUAUAUAAAGUUGUUUCUAA